rnacentral:tRNA from 1 species
GGUGGCUCAGUGGUAGAGUGCUUGCCUCACAUGCAAGAAGCCCUGGGUUUGAUUCCUCAGCACCA